rnacentral:lncRNA from 1 species
CCAGGGUUCUAUGUUCUCUCAGGAUAGUGCAUGUGAGAAAGUGAAACUAGGUCACUGAGCCAACACAAAGAAACCAUAUUAAAGAACUUUGACUCCACUUUACAAAGCACUUAUUAUAAAUGAGUAGUAUUUAUUGCUUUAUUCAACAACAAAAAACAUGUACGAUUCAAACAAGGUGUGAAAAGUCUCGAGGAUGUCAAUCCAUCAGGGUGCACUGCCUCACUGGCAGUCAGCCAGGGCUUGUCCAUAAAUAAGCCAUAUGAUUCUUGUGGUUGUUGUAUCCAUCAUUUCUCCAGGGGUGCAUAAUUCAGCAACUUCUCAAUGAGGUCUACAUGAGCCAGCAGCAUCCUCCGACAGCAAUACCUCUUCAGACCAAGAGCAUCAAGGGCAUCACUGCCAACCAAACAAAAGGGAGACACUAGAGUUUGUAAUAGGCUACUCCUGAUAAACCUAUGUAGCUACUAAUGAAAUAAGUGAACACUACAAUAUUUGGAGAAAGAGAUUAAUCUUAGGGAAAUACAAUGUAAACCAUGACCACAGCAGACAUGUCUCUCACCCUUCAGUGUAUUCAGCUUGAAGGAGGCCAAGGUACGCCUCCCAUUUAUUCCCAACGAUUUUCCCACAGGUGAAGCACCGGACCGGGAUAAUCAUUUUGAUCCGAUCGACUGGGGCCCUGAAAACAAAUUAUGAAAAAAUUUAUGCACUCUACUGUAAAUUGCUCUGAAUAAGAACAUCUGCUAAAUGACAAACGGCAGAUUUGAAGAAAAAUGUAGAUAUUCAACGAAAAAUGCAUAACUACAUGAAACAGCAUAGCCUACCAAUUUUGUAGAUAACUUGCCAGCUAUGUUUUACUGACGCUCAGUCUUAGCGCGGGCAUGUCAACAAGCGUGCUAGCUAGCUACACAGUACUAGCUAGCGCACACGUUUUCAAACCCUUUGCAUAGAGCUAGCUAGUUAACCAAAAAGUGUUAGCACACAACAUAGACAUGUUUUAUAUCAUGGCGAAAUAUAGACUCAAACAAUAAAGCCGUUAUUGACUCACUGUUCCGUAGUAACCCUUGCAAACAGACAAGAAAGCACACAGGAAUAACAUGUAGCUAACGCGCGUCGCUCCUCCGUCAAUACCGGGGCCAAUGUUGCCAACUCCUCAGUAAGGAAAGUAGCUAUUGGCUGUCCUAAAAGUAGCGAGAAGUCGCUAAAUUACGUCAUCACCUAAUUUGUAUAAUUGGCAUGUAAUUGUGAUGGAAGCUGUAGGAGAGAGGAAUAACGUCGUGGGAGAGACAAAACGGCGGGAUCAGCCAGCGGCGGCUUCCCGCAUGCGCGAUUCAUUUGCAUUCUGGACGCGGAGGGGUGAACGUCUCCUGCGCGAGAACUGGGCCGCCUGUGAGUGCUUUGGGACAGGGGUGGGGCCCACGGUAGCAUCCGCUGCUCGUUGAGAAGAGUAAGAACGAUACGUGCUUUCACGUAAGAGUCUCCAAUAUCACCAGAAAAAGUCGCUAGAUUUGUCGCUUUUUUUGAAAAUGUGUCGCUAGAGGGGUCUGUAUACUCGCUAAAUAUAGCGACAAAGUCGCUAAUUUGGCAACACUGACUGGGGCAUGUCCAGGGGCUGCAACGUCACAGGGGGUUCUAGAAAGGUUGGAAUUGAAUGAGCUGCACCUCAUUCAUAGCUCCAUUUACCUUUAACACAUUGUUGUUUUCAUGGUACACAUUAGAUUUUCUGAAUAUAUUAGGGGUCUGUUUAGAAUAUGACUCCCCCUCAGUUUUCUAUUUUGGACUAGUCCAAUACUAGAUUCAAAUCAUCAAAUUUUAUUUUAUUGGUCACAUAGACAUGGUUACUAGAAUACUAGAUUCACAUUAAUCACAUCUGGAACUGGCUACUGUAUCUCUUUGAGAAUUCAGAUUUUUAAAACGGCACAAUGUUUAGAAACCCUAUUGGCCAGCAUGAUAACAUUUAUAAAAUGUCUGCUUUUCAUGACCGCUAACAUGUGAGUGGUGGACAUAAUACAGCCUGUAGCCAGUCAGUCCUAUUCAUAUCAGUGAUGAUGGAGGAAAAGAAACAAUGAGAGGAGUGCAUCAACCUCAACACAAUGAACCCUAGCGAUUUCUAUUGGUGGAGAGUGUAGGACACAAAAUGAUUCACAGCUAUCAAAGAGACCGUUUAGUCUAUGCAAGCUGGUUCAUUGCCUUUAAUAAAGGUCAGGUCAAGUCACAAGACAACCAUUUGGAUUUACACAAGGAGCUUUGGGGGCAGGGGAGGGAGUCUGCAAGAGGGAAAAUAUGUCAUAGGGAGCUGGGAUAUCAAGAAAAUCUAGGUUUAAUCCCCAUUGUAAUCACCACUAUCACAUCAUCAUCUGGUUCUCGUUCUCCAUUUACAAUCAAGUAUUACCCAUCAACAUUUCACCAUUGCCAUCAUUUUAAUAUAAUACAGAACAUGUGCUAAAAUGUGAAGUCCUACUGGAAUUAUUGCAUUUAUACGCUCUUUGAGACCAAGGAAAAUAACUGAUAGAUUUUAUUUAGUACUCUGUGACGUGAUGACUAGGCUAUUUGAACAUGUGUUCGCAGAAUAUGUGUCUGUUAUGUUGCUGUGCUGGAGGUAUUGAUAUUGCAGCAUGGUACGCUACAUGCCAGUGUUCAAGCAAGAUGUUUGAUUGGGUGUUGAAGAACUCCUAGGCCUCUUAUAAAAAAAAAAAAAACUGUUGGUAUGUUAUCAAAAAUAGGUGAGCUUCUCUGUAAUUAAUAGGGAAACAAACUGAGAUUGUUUCCUCUUUUAUCUACUAAAUAAAUCCAGCUAUUUCUCUACUCUCAUCAAUAAGGCAUGCUUUCUACUUGAAUUCUAGGUUCAUCAAACUAUCGAAAUAUUAAUGUAUUACAAAAUACUCCGUAAUGCAUGUAUUAUCAUCAUUUCAUCAUACUUUCAAGGCUAUCCUGGAGGUUGGAGAUGGAUGUAAUAUAUUUGUGUAUAUGCUGAUUUGCUGAGCAUGACUGGCCAAGCUACUACAUACAUUUGUACACCACAUAUUGCAUGUAGAAUAUUUUCAUUCUGAAUCAAAAUUCAUACAAUGUACUAUUACAGUAGCUGCACAGUCUCUCGCACUAACACUGUCUAACAUGUAUGGUCUUCAAAUAAAUAGAGGCUACACUAUUGCUCCAGAGAAAUUGUAGUAUGCAAGUUGUUAAUACAUUUGACAAAUAGACACACCAAGGGAUUUUAGUGUUAACACACAGGGUUAAAAUAUAAUUAAUAUAAUAUUUUUGGCAAUUUAGUGUAUAUGCUUUUGGUUUACACUCCAUUUGUGUCACCAGGGCAGUAAACGCAGGCAGCCAGGCAUAACUUUGACUAUAAUCUCAAUGUACAUAUUGAUUUGGGAUAUAUGGGCAAUUUGACUAUGAAAUGGUAUUACCUCAGCAUCCGUAGAGACUGAAAUGGAAGUCUAUCACAUACAAUUAUUUAAGUUACUUCAUCUGUCACACAAUUAUCUGCCAUUACUGACAUCACUUACACACAGCCUUCCCUAAACCAUGCAUCUUCCCCUGAAUUGAUAUAACGAUAUCUCCUGGUCUAAAACCAUUAUUCAUAAGGGUUCACAUCUAAUCUGCAGGGAUCAUGUAUUUACAGCAAGAGCAUAGAAAUAGCACAUACUAGGCACCAGGGUUGCGAUCAAUUCCAUUUAAAUUUAAUUCAGAAAUUAAACAAAAUUCAAAUUCCAAAUGUUCUAUAUUGAAAAGGAUUCAAGAGAAUUGGAAUUUCAGUGUACUUCCUGAAUUGACUGAAAUUUAAAUGAAAUUAGCACCCCAAACCUGCUAGGCACUCACAAUGGUGUGUUUAAUAUACUUCUUACUUCACUUCAUAUGACCUUUUUCAAAUCAAACAAUAUAAAAUUACUGUAUUUCUACUUCUAACUUACGUAUUAGUAGACCCAGAAACAUCAAAAUGUUUAUCAGUGCAUACUGGAUAAAUAGGGUAUUCAAGUACUGUGUGUGUGUGUGUGUGUCCAGUAUAACUGUUGGAGUGCAUUUGUAUGUUGAUUAAAUGCCUGUAGACCUAUAAGUAGGUGCAGUUAGAGGGGUGGAGCAAAUUCAUGCAUGAGUAUACUAGCAGGGGCCCAAAAAUGUAUUACUUGAAUGUUCACUGAUGUUUAUAUUCACUACAAGCAAGGUCAGACUGAAAUAAACUUAAGAAGCAAAGUGACUCCCCAUCCCCCAUCUCUACCAGCUGCAUGAUAGUCUAUGAACCAAUCAGCAAGU